rnacentral:rRNA from 1 species
AACGAACGCUGGCGGCAUGCCUAACACAUGCAAGUCGAACGAGACCUUCGGGUCUAGUGGCGCACGGGUGCGUAACGCGUGGGAACCUGCCCUUAGGUUCGGAAUAACUCCCCGAAAGGGGUGCUAAUACCGGAUAAUGUCUUCGGACCAAAGAUUUAUCGCCUUUGGAUGGGCCCGCGUUGGAUUAGCUAGUUGGUAGGGUAAAAGCCUACCAAGGCGACGAUCCAUAGCUGGUCUGAGAGGAUGAUCAGCCACACUGGGACUGAGACACGGCCCAGACUCCUACGGGAGGCAGCAGAGGGGAAUAUUGGACAAUGGGCGAAAGCCUGAUCCAGCAAUGCCGCGUGAGUGAUGAAGGCCUUAGGGUUGUAAAACUCUUUUACCCGGGAUGAUAAUGACAGUACCGGGAGAAUAAGCUCCGGCUAACUCCGUG